CUGGUAGGAUUGAGAGGUAGUUUCAGUCUCAGGUACAUGGUCAGGAGAGUGGUGAUCGUCAGGGACCGAGCUAGAGCAGCUCCCCGAAAUUGCAGCUAAAAUGAAAAGCAGAGAGAGAAAAGAAAGCAACUUGCCUUUGCGGGUGUUUGCCAUUGGAGAAGCUUGGGUCAGUGUGUUGUUGUUGUUGCCAUAUAUUUUGUACAAGCAAGGGUGCAAUUGCAGAUCUUUGGCGUUUCGAUCCAAAGAAUGGAGAGAAUUUAGCUGGAAUCUAUGUUAGACUUGACUAGUCCGACGGAAGAGAAUAGGGAUUUUGUAUCACAAGAAAGAAG
rnacentral:misc_RNA from 1 species